GCCGGUUUGGCUCAGUGGAUGGAGCGUCAGCCUGCAGACUGAAGGGUCCCAGGUCAAUUCUGGGCAAGGGCA
rnacentral:tRNA from 1 species